UUUAAAAUGAGAGUUUGAUCCUGGCUCAGGACGAACGCUGGCGGCGUGCCUAAUACAUGCAAGUCGAACGAAACUUUCUUACACCGAAUGCUUGCAUUCAUCGUAAGAAGUUGAGUGGCGGACGGGUGAGUAACACGUGGGUAACCUGCCUAAAAGAAGGGGAUAACACUUGGAAACAGGUGCUAAUACCGUAUAUCUCUAAGGAUCGCAUGAUCCUUAGAUGAAAGA
rnacentral:rRNA from 1 species